AUAAAAUGUAUUUUAAGGGCAGAAUGAGGACAGAGAAAAGUCCUUAUAUGUGGUUACUAGUGAGAACAUAUCUGACUAACGAGAGAAGGCUUCAGUACGUUUGCCAGAUUAGAAGAUUUUCCAGUAAGUAACUGGUUGCCUUUCAUCCAGUCUGCUCAAGCAACAGCUUGCACAGAUUCGUGGGGGGAUGAGAGAGCGUUACGAGGCUUGAUGGGGCUGCAGCCAAACAGCACAACAGGCGGAGCUGCCAAUUCUCCUGCAUUUGUUCAGAAGUUAUUGGAUCUUUUGAAGCCGCGUAAUGAUGCCUUUGGACAGGCGAAGCUUUGUUUUUACGCAGCAGGGACUCAGUAAAAAUGAGCAAAGGCAGCCUGUUAGGGCUCACACCAAAGACAUGAAACUGCCAACAUCGAUUACUUCAUGAGUUUCAUAGUCGGAUUCAUUCUUAUUCCCCAAACAUAAAGUGGCUCGCAGAAGUACUGAUGCCUGUUGAACUACUCCACAUUUCGCCACGUUGGAACCAGAAACGUCAACGUACAUUGCUGAGAAUUUGUGAUAAAUCAACAAGCAGCAGCACAGAAUUGUAAAGUGGAAGGCUGUAGGAAAAGUGUUCAAAAGGGAGCGAGAAGUGGUGCCUUAUACUUCCACAAAACUGACUGUAGCCUUAACUACGGAACAUGGAGGUGGUAGAAUUAUGCUGAGGGGAUACCUUUCUCCAACAGAGACAGGAAAGCUGGUUAAGUUGAUGGAAACAUUGAUGGAGCUAAAUACAGAGUAAUCAUUGAACAACAAAACACAGCCAGGGCUACAAUUAAGAUAUAAAAGAUAUGCUUCUGUAAAUAAUUUAGCUAGGACAACUGAAUACAAACACAUCCUGCACCUUUCAUACUUUGAUCUUUUUAUUUCUCUUACUUUUAUCCCACUUAGUUUUGGUCUUAAGCAUAAAAAAUCCCUAAUUAAACUCACUAACGUUUGUGGUUAUAACAUAAAAAGGGGAAAAGUUCAAGAGGGGUUCAUACUUUGGCAAAACACCAAAUUAUCAGAUCUUGCAAACCCACAAAGGGACACCAACUCAGAAAAUAAACAGCUGUUUAAUUAAUUCGCAGCAACGCCUCAGGGACUCAUUUCACACACUGAACAGAGGAAUGCACUUCUUUACAGGUAAAAUGCAAGUUCAUCUGCUCUGAUAAGAAUUCAGCUUUUGACCAAUACAGAACUACUAAGUUCCAAAUUUAAAUUGGAUGAUUUCAGAGCUGACAGAAACAAGAAUCCAGGAAAUUCCUAUAAGAUCCAGUGUUUAUUUGUAACCUUUGGUUUCCAUUUAUCAGGUUUUUAAUAACAUACUGCAAAUGUUCGAUGAUGUAUUUAGCAUGUGAGCAACACAAUCCAACCAAAAAUAUUGAGAAAAUGCGCAAUAAUAUACACAACAUUGCAAAAGCAACACAGAAUUAUUGGUCCCUAAUCAUUAAAUCUAUUAAAACUAAUAGCUAAUAACUAAAAACUAAAACUGAGUAGUUUCUAACUACCCAGCAGCAUGUGCUUUAACAGUUAUUUUGAGUCUAACAAAAAUCCAAUGCUUCGACACAAAAUAUGAAGGUACUAUCUAGCUUGUUUGCCUUUAAAACCAGGCCAGAAUGUUCUUUUUUAUGUAUUAGUUCUUUAAUAAAAAACUAACCAAUGAACCAAUGAACGUUUUAACGAGAAAACAAAACACUGAAAUUGGUAUCGGCCAGGAAAACAAUAAUUAGCGCAACUCUAAAAAUUGCAAACGGGCAUAUUCAAAAGAACCGUGAUUGGUUUCUUUAUGCCUUAUGUCAGGGGUGUCAAACUCCAGUCCUCAAGGGCCGUUGUCCUCAAGGGCCGGUGUCCUCCAACUUUUAGAUGUGUCUCUGCUGCA